rnacentral:rRNA from 1 species
AUUGAACGCUGGCGGCAUGCCUUACACAUGCAAGUCGAACGGCAGCACGGGUGCUUGCACCUGGUGGCGAGUGGCGAACGGGUGAGUAAUACAUCGGAACGUACCUUAUCGUGGGGGAUAACGCAGCGAAAGCUGUGCUAAUACCGCAUACGCCCUGAGGGGGAAAGCGGGGGAGCGAAAGACCUCGCGCGAUUAGAGCGGCCGAUGCCUGAUUAGCUUGUUGGUGGGGUAAAAGCCCACCAAGGGGACGGUCAGUAGCUGGUCUGAGAGGACUAUUAGCCACGCUGGGACUGAGACACGGCCCAGGCUCCUACGGGAGGCAGCAGUGGUGAAAUUUGGACAAUGGGGGCAACCCUGAUCCAGCAAUGCGGCGUGAGUGAAGAAGUUCUUCGGGUUGUAAAGCUCUUUUGUCAGGGAAGAAACACCGGCUCUAACACAGUCCGGGAAUGACGGUACCUGAAGAAUAAGCACCGGCUAACUACGUGCCAGCCGCCGCAGUAA